UUCUGAAAGGAAGGAGUGCCUUCGGGAGCGUUGAGACAGGUGGUGCAUGGUUGUCGUCAGCUCGUGUCGUGAGAUGUUGGGUUAAGUCCCGCAACGAGCGCAACCCUUGCUAUUAGUUGCUAACAGGUUAAGCUGAGCACUCUAAUGGGACUGCCGGUGACAAGCCGGAGGAAGGUGGGGAUGACGUCAAAUCAUCAUGCCCUUUAUGACCUGGGCUACACACGUGCUACAAUGGAUGGUACAGAGAGCAGCGAGGCAGCGAUGUGGAGCGAAUCUCAAAAAGCCAUUCUCAGUUCGGAUUGGAGUCUGCAACUCGACUCCAUGAAGUCGGAAUCGCUAGUAAUCGCGAAUCAGCAUGUCGCGGUGAAUGCGUUCCCGGGCCUU
rnacentral:rRNA from 1 species